rnacentral:ncRNA from 2 species
GGGAAGCCGGUGCGAAUCCGGCGCUGACCCGCAGCGGUGAUGUCGGCCUCUGGCCGGAUGAGCCCGAAUGCC